rnacentral:lncRNA from 1 species
AUACAUUAUUGAUGUAUUUUGAUGAUUUAUGUUUGAUUCUUUUUUCCUAUGAUUUCAGAAAAAGAAGUAAAGACCCCUGGUAAAGCAAAAGAUUCUCAGACUGAGGAGAGUGCCCCGGACAAGAAGACGUCUGGUAAGAUGACUGAUGGAGAAAGUUCUGUCCAUCAUAAAGGGAAACUCCACUCAAAAACAGUCUUCUGGUAUUUGUUUCAUUAGUCC